rnacentral:lncRNA from 10 species
GGACAAAUUGUGUACCAGCAAUAAACAAAGCAAUAUGUAUCUUUUAAAAAAAUAUGUAUAUUUUAAAAGAUACAUAUCAUACCAUGUACAAAAAUAUACUAUAAUUUGAUUCAAACAAAGCAAUAACUAACAGUUUUAUAGAUCCCUUUUAUACAAUGUUCAAGAUUAAGAAUCUCCCAGAGGUUGGCUUUGUGUGGUGGCUCACACCUAUAAUCCCAGCAAUUUGGGAGGCUGAGGCAGGAGGAUCACUUGAGGUUUGA